rnacentral:rRNA from 1 species
GACGAACGCUGGCGGCGUGCCUAACACAUGCAAGUCGAGCGAAUGAAGUUCCUUCGGGAAUGGAUUUAGCGGCGGACGGGUGAGUAACACGUGGGCAACCUGCCUCAUAGAGGGGAAUAGCCUUCCGAAAGGGAGAUUAAUACCGCAUAAGAUUGUAGUACCGCAUGAUACAGCAAUUAAAGGAGCAAUCCGCUAUGAGAUGGGCCCGCGGCGCAUUAGCUAGUUGGGGAGGUAACGGCGCACCAAGGCGACGAUGCGUAGCCGACCUGAGAGGGGGAUCGGCCACAUUGGGACUGAGACACGGCCCAGACUCCUACGGGAGGCAGCAGUGGGGAAUAUUGGACAAUGGGGGAAACCCUGAUGCAGCAACGCCGCGUGAGUGAUGACGGCCUUCGGGUUGUAAAGCUCUGUCUUCAGGGACGAUAAUGACGGUACCUGAGGAGGAAGCCACGGCUAACUACGUGCCAGCCGCCGCCGUAAUAC